rnacentral:piRNA from 1 species
GGGAUGCUCUGAGCAGAAGUGGCCA